GCAAUGCCGCGUGAGUGAAGAAGGCCUUCGGGUUGUAAAGCUCUUUUGUCAGGGAAGAAACGGCCAGUUCUAAUACAGCGGGCUAAUGACGGUACCUGAAGAAUAAGCACCGGCUAACUACGUGCCAGCAGCCGCGGUAAUACGUAGGGUGCAAGCGUUAAUCGGAAUUACUGGGCGUAAAGCGUGCGCAGGCGGUUUUGUAAGACUGUCGUGAAAUCCCCGGGCUCAACCUGGGAAUGGCGAUGGUGACUGCAAGGCUAGAGUUUGGCAGAGGGGGGUAGAAUUCCACGUGUAGCAGUGAAAUGCGUAGAUAUGUGGAGGAACACCGAUGGCGAAGGCAGCCCCCUGGGUCAAAACUGACGCUCAUGCACGAAAGCGUGGGGAGCAAACAGGAUUAGAUACCCUGGUAGUCCACGCCCUAAACGAUGUCUACUAGUUGUCGGGUCUUAAUUGACUUGGUAACGCAGCUAACGCGUGAAGUAGACCGCCUGGGGAGUACGGUCGCAAGAUUAAAACUCAAAGGAAUUGACGGGGACCCGCACAAGCGGUGGAUGAUGUGGAUUAAUUCGAUGCAACGCGAAAAACCUUACCUACCCUUGACAUGGCUGGAAUCCCCGAGAGA
rnacentral:rRNA from 1 species